CUAGAGAAUACAGUUGUCUUGACCUCAGGUCUGUCUGUUCUGUCGGCAAGUAACGCAGUACUGUUCUGAUCUGCUGCUAUUAGAAUGCAUUGUGAAGCGACUGGAGUAUGAUUAAAAGUUGUUCCCCUCAAUGCUUGGAGUAGUGAUUGUUGAAGGAAAAUCCAGCUAAAUGAUAAAGGCUGAGUGU